UUUUUUUAAUUUGAAGUAAUGUAAAUAAAUUAAAUUGUUUAUUUUAGAUUAUAUUAUGAUUUGCCUAAGUCUAAUUGGACUCCUAUUAUGGCUGAACAUUUUUGGGAGCACACUAGAUUACCAUGUUGCUUAUCAUUUAAAAGGGCAAAAGUUACCCCUGAUGGAUGUAAUUAGGUAUAUGUAGUAGUUGUUGCGCGAUGUACUGUUUGUAAAUCAAACUUUAAAGGAACUAUAGAUGAAAGACCAGCAGAAAACUAGAGUGCUAAUGAACUGUAUUUAUACCGGCAAUUACAAUGAAGAACAUACAAUUUCACGAAAACGACGAAUGUAAACGCGGUUAAAGACGCCGCCCGAAUACAGUACCAAAUAUUACAGCGAUAGUGGCACGUUACGACUGCGGCGAAAAUUGUUCACAGGUCAGCGUUGUGGUGGUCAACGGCAAUCCCAAUCAAAUUACCGGCCGGCGAGGCCUCAGCCACAGUCAGGAUAUAAUAUAUACUAUACAGAUAUCGUUUAGUACCAUCGUGCCACCGCAAUUAGACAUCGUCACUGCAACACUCAAAAACCUGCUAACCAUUAUUGGUCUAUAUCUUGGUGAGAUGUCUCCUACGUCCUACACCGACAUUUUACGAUCUCAAAAUACCUUUUGCGAUUUCGAUCGGCUUCGUUAUCGGUCGCCGUAUUAUUUUUAUGCGUCCCCGAUUGCGUUCGGCCGUUCGUCAGCCUCCGCUCGCGUUGCGACGCGUAAACGUCGUACACCACCAGGCCGUUUUUAUAUUGUCGUGCGUUCGAGUGUGCCACCACUUCGCGGCAACCUACUCGGUGUUAAACGCUUCAGUACGUUUUUAAUAUUUUUAUCUUUGUUGUCCGACUUUUUCGCCGGUUGUUCCAUCGCCGCACGCCAACUUCUCUGUCGCUUGUCGUUACCUUUGUACUCGCAAUGCGACGUUUCGUCUCCAUCGAUCAGUCGGUCGUAUUGUUCCGUAACGAUAAAUUGUCGUAAAUGAGUAACGAUUGCCAUAACUGCUGUAUUGGUGUCAUCGAGACAGCAUCGCUGUCCACUCCGGUACCGCUGGCCAUCAUCGUCGCCGGGCCGCUCGAUUGUAAAAGGCGGGUAUCGUUCGGCUGUCCGCCGUGCUCAGGGGGUGUAACGCGUCUACCUAUAUACGAGCGUGCGACACCCGUGAACUCGUCACACGACGGAGUGCCGGAGAACGUAUACGUUGGUGAUUUGUCGCCAAACUCCGUAGUGCCUCCUCAUUUUCGUACUCCCGAUCGUGCAUCGCCGCAGUCGGCAUAUGCGAAGGUUACACAUGACAACCACAACUUUACGUAUGUCGUCGGCGCGCCAACAUGUAUAUCUUUGUGUAAUUCCACGCUGUUUACGUUUACGCUGCAAAGAUGGUAAUCUGGUUACACUACAGAUGCCGGCCGUGGCUAUAUCAAUCACCAUAAUAUAUACGUAUAACUGAUUACAAUAAUAUUAUACAAACUAGUUAAUAUGAUACCGCGGCGUUUUAUAUAGAUAAUUUAGUAGCACCUCUGUAGUGAGCACAUAUUAUAAUAUUAUUAUUAUUAUUAUUUACAGUAAUAUACUUAUUAUUGUCUAUACACUAUAUAUGUAUACGAUUUUUAUUGUUUAAUAUAAACAUAUCUUGUUAUUUACAUUUUAUUUGACAACCUAUAGUAGAAUAAUAAUUAAAAGUAAACAAUAUAUUAUUUCAAAUUUAAUAGGCGUUUGGAUGAAGUAUAAACUAGAUGUGUAUAUGUUACUGUCCCCCCCCUCCCGCUACCACUGCUACAGACACACGACCUAAUUACUGAUACUUUAA